rnacentral:sRNA from 1 species
UAUUCUGCCCCACGGGGAAGGAUGAGAAGCUUCGACUAAGGUUCGACUCGAGCGAAGCGAGAGAACGUUGCCGCAGGCAACGGCCCAAAGGGCGAAGCGCUUUAGCGCCGAGUAAUCCUUCCCCCCACCA